AUGCUUGAUGUUGGUCGUCAUCUGCCUUGUGUUCAUCACCACAGAAGCUGUUUCAGAUUUAUGGGGAUUUGUCAUUUGGAUUGCCAUUGUUUCCAUCAGCAUGGUUUUUAUCAUCCUUUUCCUGUUUAUACCACCUUGUCACAAUUAUUGUGCUGCUUGCAACGGGAGACACAAGACUUCCAGAAAAUGACGGUUGAUUCUAAAUCCCAGCUUUACUGAAGCAACUGGAGCUCUUAACUAUCUGCGCCUUCAUAACUUUGACUGUUGCUUUUUGACCUCUGUGUCUGCUGGACCAUGCUUUUUAUUUUCAAAGAGGGACAAGAUGAGAAUCUCUUCUGCUUAAUUUUUUUUUUCUUUUGGCCAAGACUUGUGUGGAGAGUAGAGAAGUACUGAGAAGAGGAGAGAGACUGAAAUACAUCUACCAUCUGCAGCAAGAUCCAACUAUUGUGAACUUUGUGGAUUUAAGUUAUGUGACUGUGGUUGGUUUUGCUGUGUGCCACUCAAAACUGAAAUGUGAGCUAGAUAGGAAGAUCAUAGACAAUUAUCUUUAUGUAGGGAGGUGGGUGGCAGUUUUUUCUGGUUUUGGAUUGAGGGUAUAUUUACAGACAAUGAUUAAUGGUGUGUUUUUUGCAAGCUAAUUCUUGUUCAGAACAAUCACUUUAGCAAAGUUUGUACUCUUUUUCUGGUCAUUUUGCUGAAUAAUGAUCAUUUGUUCAAUAAAUCUAUUGUCAUUUAAAUAUGUUCA
ensembl:lncRNA